rnacentral:rRNA from 1 species
CCUACGGGUGGCUGCAAUUAGGAAUCUUGCGCAAUGGGGGCAACCCUGACGCAGCGACGCCGCGUGCGGGAAGACGGCCUUCGGGUUGUAAACCGCUUUUGCCGGGGAAGAAGGAAGUGACGGUACCCGGUGAAUAAGCCCCGGCUAACUACGUGCCAGCAGCCGCGGUAAUACGUAGGGGGCGAGCGUUGUCCGAAGUUACUGGGCGUAAAGAGCGCGUAGGCGGCUGUUCAAGUCCGGGGUGAAAGGUCCAGUGCUCAACGCGGACAGUGCCC